rnacentral:rRNA from 1 species
GGGGGGGGGGGGGGGGGGGGGUGGGGGGGGGGGGGGGGGGGGGGGGGGGGGGGUCGGGGGGUGGGCGGGUGGCGGGCGGGGGGGUGACGGGUGGGGCGCGUGGCCUUGGGUUUGGGGUAACUUCAGGACGCUGGGGCUAAUACCGGAUAGGAGCUCCUGCUGCCUGUUGGGGGUUGGAAGGUUUCGGCGGUGGGGGAUGGACUGGCGGUUUAUCAGCUUGGUUGUGGGGUAGUGGCUUACCAAGGCUUUGACGGGUAGCCGGCCUGAGAGGGUGACCGGCCACAUUGGGACUGCGAUACGGCCCAGACUCCUACGGGAGGCAGCAGUGGGGAAGAUUGCACAAGGGGUGGAAGCCUGAUGCAGCAACGCCGUGUGCGGGAUGACGGCCUUCGGGUUGUAAACCGCUUUCGCUCAUGACGAAGCUUUGUGUGACGGUAGUGGGUAAAGAAGCACCGGCUAACUACGUG